UACGAAGGGGGCUAGCGUUGUUCGGAAUUACUGGGCGUAAAGCGUGCGCAGGCGGUCUCUCAAGUCAGGGGUGAAAGCCCAGAGCUCAACUCUGGAAUUGCUCUUGAAACUGUGAGGCUCGAGUGCGGGAGAGGUGAGUGGAAUUCCCAGUGUAGAGGUGAAAUUCGUAGAUAUUGGGAAGAACACCGGUGGCGAAGGCGGCUCACUGGCCCGUUUCUGACGCUCAUGCACGAUAGCGUGGGGAUCAAACAGA
rnacentral:rRNA from 1 species